rnacentral:rRNA from 1 species
CCGAGUGGACGCGGUGAAGGCAGGUAGCUCGUUCGGUCUCCGGGCCGGAAGAGAACGUACAGUCUCGCCGUCUGCAUCGGUCGCAAGGUCGAGGAAAUUUGACCACGUUCUGCGCCUGCUCGGCCUUCGGGCCUUGGGCUGGAGCCGCCGGACUCCCGCUCGUGCGGCAUACGGGGACUGUCCUCAGUGCCCGCUUGCUCGUGCGGUAGGGUCAGGCCGGUUCGCCUCUCAGGCGCACGGGGUCUGCCAACUUGGCCGGGCGCCUUUUCGACCCGUCUUGAAACACGGACCAAGAAGUCUAACGGACACGCAAGUCGAAGGGCCUUUUAAGCCCGAAGGCGAAAUGAAAGUGAAAGCCGGUGUAGGCCGGCUGAGGUGGGAUCUUCUGCCCUGGCGAGGCGCACCACCGCCCCGUCUCGUCCGCUUUGCUCGGUGAGGCGGAGGUAGAGCGUGUACGCUAGGACCCGAAAGAUGGUGAACUAUGCCCGAGCAGGAUG